GGGUAGCUGGUCUGAGAGGAUGAUCAGGCCACACUGGGACUGCGACACGGCCCAGACUCCUACGGGAGGCAGCAGUGGGGAAUAUUGGGCAAUGGGCGAAAGCCUGACCCAGCCACGCCGCGUGAGUGAUGAAGGCCUUCGGGUCGUAAAGCUCUGUGGGGAGGGACGAACAAGUGCGUACCUAACACGUACGUGCCCUGACGGUACCUCCUUAGCAAGCACCGGCUAACCAUGUGCCAGCAGCCGCGGUAA
rnacentral:rRNA from 1 species